CACAGGACACAUACACACACACACACACACACACACAGCAGUCAGCAGUAACUUGUUUUGCCUGAGAUUUAACACAGAAUACUUUCAG